rnacentral:rRNA from 1 species
UACGUAGGGGGCAAGCGUUAUCCGGAUUCACUGGGUGUAAAGGGAGCGCAGACGGAUGGAUAAGUCUGAAGUGAAAGCCCGCGGCUCAACUGCGGGACUGCUUUGGAAACUGUGCAUCUUGAGUACGGGAGGGGCAGGCGGAAUUCCUGGUGUAGCGGUGAAAUGCGUAGAUAUCAGGAGGAACACCGGCGGCGAAGGCGGCCUGCUGGACCGAAACUGACGUUGAGGCUCGAAAGCGUGGGGAGCAAACAGG